rnacentral:hammerhead_ribozyme from 1 species
GUACUGCUGAAGAGUCCCAAACUACAACGAAACAGCUGUCCAGUAC